rnacentral:rRNA from 1 species
AGCAGCCGCGGUAAUUCCAGCUCCAAUAGCGUAUAUUAAAGUUGUUGCAGUUAAAAAGCUCGUAGUUGAAUUUCGGGAUCAAUAUGUUGGUCGUGCCUUGGUACGUACUGGCAUUAUCGAUUCCUACCUUCUGAAGAACCUCGAUGUCAUUAAUUUGGUGUCUUGGGGAAUCAGGACUGUUACUUUGAAAAAAUUAGAGUGUUUAAAGCGGGCUCGCGCUUGAAUACAUUAGCAUGGAAUAAUGAAAUAGGACGUUUGAUUCUAUUUUGUUGGUUUCUAGGAUCGACGUAAUGAUUAAUAGGGAUAGUUGGGGGCAUUAGUAUUCAAUUGUCAGAGGUGAAAUUCUUGGAUUUAUUGAAGACUAACUACUGCGAAAGCAUUUGCCAAGGAUGUUUUCAUUAAUCAAGAACGAAGUUAGGGGAUCGAAGACGAUCAGAUACCGUCGUAGUCUUAACCAUAAACUAUGCCGACUAGGGAUCGGAUGAUGUAAUUUUUAAUGACUCAUUCGGCGCCUUAAC